rnacentral:rRNA from 1 species
UGGGGAAUCUUCCGCAAUGGACGAAAGUCUGACGGAGCAACGCCGCGUGUAUGAUGAAGGUCUUCGGAUUGUAAAGUACUGUCAUUGGGGAAGAACGGUUUUCUUGAGAAUAUUGAGAAGACAUGACGGUACCCAAGGAGGAAGCCCCGGCUAACUACGUGCCAGCAGCCGCGGUAAUACGUAGGGGGGCAAGCGUUGUCCGGAAAUUAUUGGGCGUAAAGGGCGCGUAGGCGGGCCUUUAAGUCCGGUGUGAAAGAUCAGGGCUCAACCCUGAGAGUGCAUCGGAAACUGGAGGCCUUGAGGACAGGGAGAGGAAAGUGGAAUUCCACGUGUAGCGGUGAAAUGCGUAGAUAUGUGGAGGAACACCAGUGGCGAAGGCGACUUUCUGGACUGUAAGCUGACGCUGAGGCGCGAAAGCGUGGGGAGCAAACAGGAUUAG